rnacentral:rRNA from 1 species
UGGGGAAUAUUGGACAAUGGGGGAAAGCGUGAUCCAGCAAUACCGCGUGUGUGAGAAGGCCUUCGGGUUGUAAAGCACUUUAAGUUGGGAAGAAAAAGCUUCACCUAAUACGUG